rnacentral:rRNA from 1 species
UUGACGGGGCCCGCACAAGCGGUGGAGCAUGUGGUUAAUUCGAAGCAACGCGAAGAACCUUACCAGGUCUUGACAUCCCCUGACACCCGAGAGAUCGGGCGUUCCCCUUCGGGGGGACAGGGUGACAGGUGGUGCAUGGUUGUCGUCAGCUCGUGUCGUGAGAUGUUGGGUUAAGUCCCGCAACCGAGCGCAACCCUCGACCUUAGUUGCCAGCAUUCAGUUGGGCACUCUAAGGUGACUGCCGGCUAAAAGUCGGAGGAAGGUGGGGAUGACGUCAAAUCAUCAUGCCCCUUAUGACCUGGGCUACACACGUGCUACAAUGGGCGGUACAAAGGGUCGCGAACCCGCGAGGGGGAGCCAAUCCCAAAAAGCCGCUCUCAGUUCGGAUUGCAGGCUGCAACUCGCCUGCAUGAAGCCGGAAUCGCUAGUAAUCGCGGAUCAGCAUGCCGCGGUGAAUACGUUCCCGGGCCUU